GCUCCAGUGGCGCAAUCGGUCAACGCGCGGUACUUAUAAUGCCGAGGUUGUGAGUUCGAGCCUCACCUGGAGCA